AUGCGAUAAGUAAUGUGAAUUGCAGAAUUCCGUGAAUCAUCGAAUCUUUGAACGCACAUUGCGCCCUCUGGUAUUCCGGGGGGCAUGCCUGUCCGAGCGUCAUUGACACAAAUCAAGCGCGGCUUGUGUGUUGGGCCCUCGUCCUCUUGAAAAGGACGUGCCCGAAACGCAGCGGCGGCGUCGCGGUUAUCCGACCAGCCAGAGUGUAUGGGGCUUUGUCACGCACUCCAAGGCACAGGACCGGCGCCUGUCGACCUCCUUCAAACGAGAUAUCAAGGUUGACCUCGGAUCAGGUAGGGAUACCCGCUGAACUUAA
rnacentral:misc_RNA from 1 species